rnacentral:rRNA from 1 species
UACGUAGGGGGCUAGCGUUGUCCGGAUUUAUUGGGCGUAAAGAGCGUGUAGGCGGCCAGAUAGGUCUGCUGUGAAAUCCCGAGGCUCAACCUCGGAACUGCCCUUGAUACUGGGGAUCUCGAGUCCGGAAGAGGUUGGUGGAACUCCGAGUGUAGAGGUGAAAUUCGUAGAUAUUCGGAAGAACACCAGUGGCGAAGGCGGCCAACUGGUCCGGCACUGACGCUGAGGUGCGAAAGCGUGGGGAGCAAACAGG